GUAUGCGACCAAAAAACGUUGAAGUACCACCUCUCGCCAGAUCCUUGAAGUCAAGCAACGUUGUACCGAGUUGUACAUGGGCAGCCAUUUGAGAACACUCGGUGUCAUAUUCA
rnacentral:rRNA from 1 species